ensembl:lncRNA
GCUUCUGUGGUGACCGAGGACGGGCUGGCGCUGGGAGCCGGAGUUAGCCGCUCAAAGCCCGAUUCGGGUUCGUGGGUAACCCUUGGGGUGACGGUAGAUGUGUGGCCUUGUCCUGUAAGCGCUGCGGGUUGCAGGCCGGGACGCGCACUUUGGCGGUGGUUAUCCUGUUUUGGGGAAGCCUGGUGAAAGGCGGCUGGUUACGGCUCAAUGGGCCGCGAGGGAAGGUAACCGCCGCCCGAGAAUCCAAGGCAGGUGGGUUAUCCGGGAAUGCUCCAGGCUGGGGAAGUGUCGGCAAUGGCCGUGCACCGCCGGACCAAAGUCCUUUUCGAGGAGUGGUCCCAGCUCCGGAUUUGCGUUUCUGCGCUACAGUUCAUGGGCCCUGUAGCUCAGGAGCAGCCUCCUCUUCUGAGUAAUAGAAAUAAUGCUUAUAUCCUUGGGCUGUGGAGGAGCGUCAGUGAAGUCAUGAAUGCGCGUGUGGCUUGUAUAGCAAUGCAGGUAUUAUUAUGAAUGUUUGGGGAUUCGUUAACUUUGCUGGCACAUAGAGGGCUAUACUGAAAGAGGAAGAUCUCGGAGGAACGCAGUACUCGGCGCUGAUUGGAUAGCGCGUGGCGCCGGGUCAAGGGUUGGAGGCACCAGCUGCAAAAUCUUGCAGUUUCCUACCUUGGCCAAUGAGAGAGGCUUGGCCAAUGAGAAGCCAAGUGGCAGUAACUUUUCAGUUGGAAUUAUGCUGUGGGCGAAGAAGCACUGACCCAAACACUUCCUACCAGCUCUUACUCACCUCCAUGUGUACCUAAAUGAAGAAAGCUAGACGCGCUUUACCUUUUUCCCUUCGUUGAUAUCCAGCGAGAAUACAGGACACUAACAAAAAGACAGCUUUGCAUAGUCUUGUCCCUAAGUGGGAAUUGUGAACAGUGCUGGCUACCUGGAGCGUUGAAGGCUUUUUAGAAUCAACAGAAUCAUUCAGGUUUGAUUGUGCAACGUAAAUUUCCAAAUUGCCAAAAUAAACAGGUUUUAACUGAUUUAAUAGGUAGCUGAUGUAUUAGGAUUAUUAUUAUACUAUAGAUGAUUAUUAACUGUGUGGAGCACAACUAAGACCCAAGAGGUAAAUAAAAUUAUUUUCUACAAAAUCCAAACAGAAGAAGAGCUUGAGUUUAUUGACUCAUCCAUCAAAGUCUAGUGACUUAGAAUUGUGUUUAUUCACACAUUUGCUGGGCACUUUAUACACAGUGGACAGUAUUUGUUGAAUGAGUAAUAAAUAUAUGGACAUAUGAUUGAAUGAACAAAAAUUGCUGUUUUGAGGAGCUCAGGUCGACAUAAAUGAAACAACUGCAGUGUACAAUUUUGAUCAUGAGUAAUUUGCAUCAUAGCUGCUGUAAGAGAUCAAAGGAGAGAGGGACCAUAUGAGGUGGUCAAGGAGCCUUUGUGGAAAAGAGAGAAUAUGAGCCGGGCCCUGAAGGAUUCCAAUAGACAGGUCAGAGUGUGAAGGGGUGAAUAGGAAAGACAUUCCAAAGGGUGAAGAAGGUGUGAGCAGAGGUGUGGAAAGAAGAAAGCACAGUGAAAGGUAGUUGUUGACUUUGACUUAAACUUUGGAUUCUGAAUAGAAAUAGAGUUGAAAAACUGGGUUGGAACCAGAUUGUAUUCGUGUUUCAGGCCAAAGAAUGUUACUGGUUUAAAAAUGGCAUUUGCGGUUCCUCCCAAGUUAUAGCCAGCAGUAUAUUUUGUGGGAAGGAGAGAAGUGAGCUGUUGUAACUAAUGAGUGAACAAACGCCAGAUAAACAGGAAAAAAAAGCAGCAAACAUCAGGGGAUAAUGGGGAGUUACUGUUUAAUGUGUACAGAUUUCAGAUUGGGACGAUGAAGAAGUUCAGGAGAUGGAUAUGGGUGGCGUUUGCACAGCACUGUAAGUGUACUUAAUGACACUGAAUUGUACACUUAAAAAUGGUUAAAAUGCUAAAUUUUAUUUAUAUUUUACCACAAGUUAGGAAAAAAUCUAUGUAAAAACAGUAGUCUGAUGCUAGAUAACUUAAAAAGGGCAAAAACGUCACAGCCAUCAGUAUGAUCUUGAGAUCUCAAGGUGAAGUGAUAUUCAAUAAGGCAAGGAAGUAGGUGAUGCAUUUAAAAAAGUUGUGCAUCAAAACUCACUACCAUAGAAAUGUGUUAGCAUUUAGAUCAUGUUAAUAAAUGCCUUAUAAUUCCCAAAGCACUUAACGUGUAGUGCUUUUGAUCUUUUUUUUUUUUUUUUUGCUUUUGAUCUUUUAAAUGAUAUUUUGAGAUGAGUAACAGCGAUUAUGCUCACUUUACACGAGGAAGCAAACUCAAAGAGAUAGGGUUCUUGAUAGAGGUAACUGGCAACAUGAGACUACCCAUGGGUUUUGAUUUCAGUUUUUUAGCUCUACACUGUCAUACUGUCGUAAGUAAUAGUCAAGUUUUAUUGAGUACCUCCUAUGAGCCAGACACUUUUCUUGUAUUAUUCCUACUCCUUACAACAACAUUGUACAUAGUUAUACACAUCAGUGAGGAAACAGGCUCAUCUGUCAUAGGUCACAUGGCUAGAGGAAGCUAGGUUUGAACCCCUAGCUGUAAUCCCAAAGCCUAUAUUCUUCUCGAGUCUUAACUUAUGAAUCCUUAUGAAGCCACGGGCCUAGUUAAUGGCUCAUAAAUUAUUUCCUUAUAAUUAGAUAAGGGUGAGGAUCAUAUUGUCAUUCCUAGCAUAAGUGUUUAAAGAAGUAUGUAAUAAUAACAUUCCAAGGGCAGACAUCCAAUAACAUGUAAAUUCCUCACUUACAUUUAUUGAGCACCUCUUCUUCCUUCUAUGCUAGUGAGGUAAGAUGGACCAGGGAAUGCCUCUCUGUUAGGAAACACCUCCAUGGGAAAUUCUAGGAUGGAUGGUUUGGAUGGAUUCUAAGCAUUCACAUCUUUAUUCCUCUUCGUUUCCUUGGUAUGUCUCAUUUGGAUUCAAGUUAUCAUUGGUGUGGUGAGAUCUAGGAGAAAAGGACCAGGGAGGCAGCUUAGUCUGCUUUCGUUCUGGUCUUUAUCCUCUAGCCCAGGCCAACAAAACUUUGUUGCAUGCUCACAAGUCAGCUGUGUUAGCAUGUUGGAUUGCGGCCUUUGCCCGUUUGGGUUCUGGGCCCUAGCCCUCUUUCCCUUCCUCUCCCUAGGUAAUUUAAGUGGAUUGAAAGAAUUAUAUUGACAGGGAACUGAUGUUUGAGAGGCAAAGUUGAGCAAAAAGAAUGAGACUCCUGCAUUGGGAGAGGAAUGUCGCUGAGAAGAAGAAUGGAAGACGUUUGGCACUUCGUGUAUAUUUUGGGAGUUACAUUUUUGUGGAAAAAGAGAAAUUGUGUGAAAACUGUGGGUGCUGUCUUUUUUAUAGGGUGGUGGCAAUUUUCAAGCAUUUUAUAUUGUAAAUAUUGUGCUAUUCAUUCAAUAUGUAUUUAUUGAGUGCCUACUAUUUGCUAGGCACAAGAACAAUAUUAUUGGACUAUAUAUGCAGUAUUGUUAUUUUUAUUGUAAUACUGUAUAUAUCAUUAUCUAGUAUAUGUUGUGAAAUCCUGUUUGGUGAGCUUGAUUAGACCACAUAGAUGAACAUAAUUUAAGGUUAGAAAUUGAAUAGUGGGUGAUUCUUACCCUGGUGAGCCCAGCUUCCCUGAAAGUUUAGGCAGAGAUUUUGACUGAAAUUGACCCAUCACUUGGCUUGUAUCCCUUUCCUAUCCUGUUUCUCUCCCUUACUGGUUUCUCCUGAGAGCACCUUAAUCAUAUAUUCACAAAUUCUCCCCUCGGGGUUUGCUUCUGCAAGUCCUGAGUGUGUUAGUUUGGGUCUACCAAGAAGCAGAUGCCAACAUUUUAUUAGAUGUGCAAGAGAUUUAUUAGGGAGGGAGCAAGAGCCAGGAGCAGGCAGUGAGAGCUUGCAGACCACAGUGCAGGGCUGACACCUGUGCAAAGAGAGAGGGAGGGAAGAAGUGAAGUGCAGCUCCAGGAAAGGCUUGACUUUGCCAGUGGGGAGAUGUCAGGCCAAACUUCUUGUAGGAAGGGUCUGGCAGUUUGCCCGAAUGGACCUGCCCUGGUUACCUCUGCCAUGCUCAGUCAUUGACCUAGAGCCACCCUCAGAAAGCCUGGCCUCGGUGCAAGUGUGGUGGACCCAGCAGGCAACAGUGGGGCUGUCAGUCAAUUAUGUUUCCCACAGCAAAUGGUCUGAGGGGAGCAUUUUCAUGGCCACCACACUCUCCUAAGUUUUUGAUAUAAUAUUUUCUUCAUUUGUUUAUUCUCAACUAAUAUAUAUAUUAGUUGUGUGUGUGUGUGUAUGGGUGAACCUGGCACUUUGAACAAAACAGAAGAGUUAACUGUCCUCAUGGAGUUUUUAUUCUAUGGGAGAAAAGAUUUUUUUUAAAGUAAAGAAAAACAUAAAAGAAUUUCACUGUGAAAAAUGCUAUGAAGGAAACAGUGGCGUAUAUUGAGUGCCCUUGUGUGCUUGAAUUCUUAGUGCUUUACACGUAUGAACUAUUUAGCCUUCCCAGCAACCUUGUGAGGUAGGUACUCUUUAUUAUUCCCCGUUUACAGAAGAACCUGAGGUGAAGAGUGCUUAAGUAACGUAGCCCCAAGGUCCCUCAAAACCAAAGGAAUGAGAGACUGAGGCAGGGGACUCCGGCAGUAUUUAACUUUUGAGUUGCCAGAAAAGACCUCUCUGAAGAAAUGAUAUUUAAGCUAAAGCUUAAAGAAUGGAAAGGAAUGAGCUGUAUAUUUGUGAGGGUGGGAUUUGGCAGAGGAAGGCAAGAAAGAUAUUCAUAUGAAUGGUGAUUUUUCCUUCUGUAUGUUUACAAAUGUUUAUAAAUGAAGGUCAAGAUUGUUCAGUCCUAAUCACUGUUGCAGGGGUGCCCAGCACGUUUCCCACUCCUCGCUUGCCAUUCCCACCACCUUUGCCCCAUUCUUGUAACAGAUGAACAGUUGUGGGCAUAGGACCAGGCCUGGCCAGCCGUAAGUCUUUGAAAUUUUUCUUCUGCAGCUGGACAAUAUGGCUGUCGUACUAGUGAGAGUUUCUCUUUCAUAAAACAAUAGAAACCUGCUCUGGUUAGUAUUUUGAGAAGUACGUUAUUGGGAGGGUAUCGGGAAGCUCAUAUAAGUAAAAGGCUGGAGAUAAAGCUUGGGCAGGCCUCAGUGGAAGCAAGACAUAGCUUCAGUCUUAAGAUGCCCCACCAACACCAUUUCUAUGGCUUGGCUCUGCUUCUGGAUUCGGCAGCCCCUGGGCACUUGUCACCGCGUCACUGAACAUUGACCACCACACCAUGCCGCUGCAGCUGUCCUGCAUCAUCUCCAGCUCUCAGACCUUUGCACGUCUUCCUCGAGAUUCAAGUUCGUGGCUGACAGUAUCUGAUUGGCUACACUCAGGUCUCGUGUUUGUGCUCUAGCUUCCAGGGAACAGGAAGAGUUAUACCUGUCCCUCCUCACCUUCAGCUUCUGUAGUGAGCUGCAGAGCCCUAUUUUGGGAUUUCCCUUCAACUGGAAAGAGUUAUUUGGAUGCUGAACAGCAAGUAGGAUAAUAUCCAUUAGUGAUGCUGGCUGCCUAGCCCGAUUCACCACAGGAACCGUGGUGAAUAUUGAGCUAAUGCUGCCAUCUUCCUUAUCACUUGGAGAAAGCCCAUCUUCAGAAAGAGAAAAUGAGGCCAACACACAGACACAGAGCUAACAGAUGGACUGUAGGAAAUGAAAAGAGAAGGGGAGGAUCUAAUGUACAGCUCAGUGACUAUAGUUAAUACUGUAUUUUACACUUGACAUUUGCUAAGAGAAUAGAUCUUAGGUGUUCUCAUCAAUCACAAGAAAGGUAACUAGGUGAGGUGAUAGGUAUGUUAAUUAGCUUGAUUGUGGUAAUCAUUUAUCAAAACCAUGUUGCACACCUUAAAAUACACAACUUUUAUUUGUCAAUUAUACCUCAAUAACACUGGAAAAAAUUAAAACUUACCCUACUAGAUAUAUGCUUAUUAGAAUCAUAACAAGAUGCCAUACUAAUGGUUAAGGGAAAGAAAAAUUGACUAAUGAAAGAAAAUAAGGAGUCCGCAAACAGACCCACACAUAUGAAGAAAUUUUAUCUAUGUUUCAUUGUAUCACAUUUGAAGACAUUGUGACUAAAAGUCAAGAAGAAAAUGGGAGAUUAUAUGAUAAAUCAUUCUAGGACAAUUGGUUAUCCACACAUGGGGAAAAAAAAAGAUCCCUCAUAUCACACAAAAAAAUUUCAGAUGGAUUAAUGACACAGUCUGAAAUACAAAAUUAAAUUAUUUAGAACAUAUCCAAUUACCAUGGAGUAGGGAGGGAUAUCUC